UACGGAGGGUGCAAACGUUGCUCGGAAUCAUUGGGCGUAAAGCGCACGUAGGCGGCCUGUUAAGUCGGAUGUGAAAGCCCCGGGCUCAACCCGGGAAGUGCAUACGAAACUGGCAGGCUUGAAUAUGGAAGAGGGUCGCGGAAUUCCCGGUGUAGAGGUGAAAUUCGUAGAUAUCGGGAGGAACACCGGUGGCGAAGGCGGCGACCUGGGUAGAUACUGACGCUGAGGUGCGAAAGCGUGGGGAGCAAACAGG
rnacentral:rRNA from 1 species